GCCCUCGUGGCCUAAUGGCUAGGGCAUCUGACUUCUAAUCAGGGGAUUGCGAGUUCGAUCCUCGCCGAGGGCU